rnacentral:rRNA from 1 species
CAAAACAACAGUCUCAGUUCAGAUUGUAGGCUGAAACUCGCCUAUAUGAAGUCGGAAUUGCUAGUAAUCGCGGAUCAGCAUGCCGCGGUGAAUACGUUCCCGGGCCUUGUACACACCGCCCGUCACACCAUGAGAGUCGAUAACACCCGAAGCCUGUAGUCUAACAGCAAUGAGGACGCAGUCGAAGGUGGGAUUGAUAAUUAGGGUGAAGUCGUAACAAGGUACC